CAGCUGUAGAAAGUACAUCACAGAACAUCUCUGACUUCUUCAUCAGGGAGCUAUUUAGAGGAAUGACUGUAAUAGCUACUUUCGUGAAGCAGAGGUGGAAACUCCAAGAAAGUCAUACUUGAGUCAUGAAACCAUAGCUCGAAAUGUUCAAAUGUUAAGUUGAACUAAUUGAUUGACAUUGUAUUGCGCUAAGCGAAGAGAG